rfam:Populus trichocarpa scaffold_16_contig_247, whole genome shotgun sequence.
UAAUCUGUCUAGGACAGAUUCUCAUCUAAUUGUGGCAGAUCCACACUUACCAGCUCAAAAUUACCAAUUAUCACAAGUCUGACUACAUCAAUUGCACGUAUCGACAACAACUAUUCUCCUCACUCUUAUAAAUGGUAA